UUGAUUUGGACUAUAUUAAUUUGUCUUUUUAAAAUUUAUUGAACGCAAAACAAGACUUUAAUACUUAUUUAAGUCCAUACAAUGCAAAAAGUGGGUUUUUUUCUAUCAGAAACAUCUGGCAUCUAAAGUGCUUUGAGUUAUGAUGGGGCGUGAUCGUUAGUUUGCAAAGAAUUCUACUCAGAUCGAUUCAAGGAACCGUCUUUUACUUGCAGUAAGGAUCAAGCCAGCGUCAACCAUUCAACGCCGACCCUAGAGCACCGUUCAAUGGCUUUAAGCCCAACUUUGGACAAGGAAACAAUGUUGUCUGUUUCAACCGCAACUUGCCAGGACACAUUGCCAAGUACUGUCCCUAUUCAGCUCAUCUUCAGAGAAGACAGCCUCUCACAGCAACGUUCCCAGACCCUGGAGAUAAACGAUGAACAAGUUGAGUAUAAUUUACAUAUUCUAAAUGAAAAAUUUGAAAGAGAGAAAAAAACACAAAACCAAUAGUUUCGGUUAAAACAGACUUAAAAGUCCAUUACCUUUUGGAAAGAUAAAUUGAAAACUAGCGAAUUUAUACUUAACGUCUUACAAUUUGGUUACAGAUUGGAAUUUCUCGAGUUACCACAGAAAGUUAUACUUAAAAAUAAAAGAUGGGCAAUAGAUCAUGGAGAUUUUACAGAAUCAGCGAUUUCGGAACUUUUACAGAAAAACCUUAUUCUUGAAUUAUCAGAACCCCCGCACUGUGUCAAUCCAUUAUCCUUAUCUAUGUCAAACAGAAGAAAACCUAGAUUAAUUUUAGAUUUACGUCACGUUAACAAAUGUAUAGCAGAACGAAGGGUUAAAUUUGAGGGUACAGUAGAAGGUUGCUUUUGCUAAAAAGGGCAAUUUUAUGUUAAAAUUUGACUAGCGGGUAUCAUCACGUGAAUAUCCAUCCCGAGUAUUUCACUUAUUUGGGGUUUUCUUGGAAAUUUUAGUCUAUAACCAAAUACUUUGUAUUUAUCGUUUAUCUAAAACUCUAAGACCUAUAGUCAAAUAGUGGAGAUCUAAUGGUAUAAAAGUAAUAGUUUAUAUAGACGACGGAUGGAUUAACAUCUAGUCAAAAAACGUACGUCUGUCGUGGGUUCUAUUAUUUCUUUGAAAUUCGCCUACGGAUCAGUUUUGUCAGUUAUUUUCUAGGCAAAUGUCUAUGUUAAUAACUCAUAAACUCGAUUGGGACGAAAAGAUCUUACUUAAAUUUCCCCUGUAACUCGGGCUGAGCUUAAUCUUUGGUUCGAAAACGUGUAUUCAUUUUCACUCAGAGUAAUUUCACCUUGGUUUCGGAAACCAGAGAGAAUCAUCUAUACAGACGCAAGCGAUCAUGUAGGUGCCGGGGUCGUCUUAAAUUCAGUUAACCAGACAUUUCAUUUUAUGUGGGACAAGUUGACUAUAAGUCAAAGUUCAACAUUCAGAGAACUCAAAGCUGUAGAUCUAGUUCUGAAUACUUUAGGAGAUACAUUGGAGAAUAAGUUUGUUAAAUUAUACUCCGAUAACCAUAAUAUAGUUCGCGACUCUUUUCACAAAAAAUCUUAAGAUUAGAAUUUAUAGUAAGUUAUACUGAAAUGUGUAUGACUGACAGGUAUUUUUACUUUUUAAGAUUUUUUUGUGAAAAGAACCGCUGGUGUUUAAAAUAUAUUUUUUUUUCAUUUACUCGCCUCAGUCUCUACAGUUGCCCUGUUUCUGGGUGGUCUUAUUAAACAAAAAUUCUUUUUCAUUAGUUCUUGAAGCAUAUUAUCACGAAAGCCCUUUUAGGACUUUCCAAAAAGAAACUGUAAACAGCUGAAAGGUCAGCAAAUAAAGAUCUGAAAAUAUAUAUAUUGGGGGUUAAUAUUCUAAAAACAGAAAGCUGAUGUUGUAAAAGAGCAAAACGGAUCGGCAAAAAAGAUCUACCUUUUUCUUAUAUGAGUUACUGCACUUGCAUGGACUUUUUAUUUGAGUUAUAAUUGCAAUGUUUUUGUGUUUUAGCUACUAUCUUGAAAAUGAUAAAAGAUAGAGGGAAACUUAUCCAAGAAAUCAUGAUUAGUAUAACAGAUCUACAAAUAGCUCAACAUAGCUGGAAGGUUAAUUGAUACCUUGUUAGAUUUAUUGCCCUUAAAUGGCCAUAUUUACCCAUUUUAAUCAAUUUUUUAUUGUUACCAUAAAAAGUAUCAUAGAAGACACACAGCGAUACUCGCAUUAAAAAAUGACCAGGAAAACAAGAUCUGUAUGACCUAUAUAAAAAUAAGGAGAUGUGGUAUGAUUGCAAAUGAGACAACUAUUCACCAAAGUUUAAAUGAAGUGGAUGUAAGCAAUUAUUGGUAACCGUACGGCCUUCAUUAAUGAGAAAAACCCAUACCAUAUGGUCCGCUAUAAAAAGCCCCAACAUGAAAAAUAUGAAACAAUUCAAUUGAGAAAACUAACGGCCUAAUUUAUAACAAAAUAGUUUAUGAAAAACAAAUAUAACAGACUAGAACCAACGACAACCACUGAACUACAGGCUCCUGACUUAAAGAAUGUGGCGGUGUUAAACAUGUUUGUGAGAACUCAAAUCAAAUCAUUUAUCGACUUCACACCGGAGUUAUUAACGUUUUUAUAUUUUGGAUUAUUAUCGUGAAAUCUUUUAUUGAUACAUGUAUGUGAAAUAAAUGAAAUUUGGUCUUAA